CUUCUGUGUGCUUCGAUGGCCUUGCACUAUGGCCUUCUGAACGCAGUGCAGUGCGGUUCGUGUGUGUGCGUACGUACGUGCGCUGAACAGGGCGGCACUGAAGUUGGGCAAAGCUUAAUUUAAUGCAAAUCUUCUGCUAUAUUGUGGUGCGAGGAACUAAUCGAAGCUCAACAUACUGUAUGUAGCUUCCAAUCCCUGCUGGAUUGGUUUACAUUGGCUGUUGAUAUGUAGCACUACCUAGCAUGCCUACUAGCUUGUUAGCACCCACGUGAGGGUAAAGUUACUCCUAUAUAGAGUAUCUCAGUCUGGAGUAAAAGGAUAAAGUGGCUCGCGCUCAGCUCGCCCAGACCAAAAGUUACACUUCCAGUGUAGCAGGUAAAAAUAUUAACUUGUUUUGAGACACCUUGUCUCAAAUUGUUUUCAGUUUGUUUGAUUUCAGUUUAAAAAUACCCUGCCAAAUGGGACAGCCACAGAGCAUGCUCAACUUGCCCAACUCCAUAACUGCCAUAAAUCAUCCGUAUUACACUUGAACAAUGGGAAUGAACCAGAAAGAUCCGUUUUGGGCAUUGGAAUUCCUUACAGCUUUGUUGUUUCCAGUAAAAAAAACGAACACUUGGAGCAACUUUAGAGCUCAACUUGGCCUACUGCUCAGUUCACUUGCUCCAGGCAAUAGGGCAACCCUUACAGAAUUGAGAAAAUUGUGAGUUUUAGUGCGGGACUGAAAGGCAAUGAAUGCUGCCACCGGGAGGUGCUUCGCCUCUACUGGACCUAAAAGUUUUCUCACAACUUUGACAUUGAGAUCAGGAUAACAAUAGUAAGGACACUGGUGGACUGUCGAUUCUCAGACACUGUAGACAUGUCACCUGUGCACCAGGCAGUCUAUGGAGGCUGUCCCCAUGGUAUCAAUGGCAAACAGUGGCUGGAGAGACUGGACAUCAUGCUGCUGAGGCUGAAGACAAGGUUGAGGGACAAUCACACCCUCACCCUCGCAGUCUACUUGGGGACACAUCCGCACUGGAGGAUGUCCCUCCCCAUUAUCAUCAACCAUCACUCCUGUGUUCCAAUGGCACAUUGUGUUAGCUAAUCCAAAUUUACCAUUUUGAAAGGCUAAUUGAUC